rnacentral:rRNA from 1 species
UGGGGAAUAUUGCACAAUGGGCGAAAGCCUGAUGCAGCAACGCCGCGUGAGUGAUGAAGGUCUUCGGAUUGUAAAGCUCUGUCUUUUGGGACGAUAAUGACGGUACCAAAGGAGGAAGCCACGGCUAACUACGUGCCAGCAGCCGCGGUAAUACGUAGGUGGCGAGCGUUGUCCGGAUUUACUGGGCGUAAAGGGUGCGUAGGCGGAUGUUUAAGUGAGAUGUGAAAUACCCGGGCUUAACUUGGGUGCUGCAUUUCAAACUGGAUAUCUAGGGUGCAGGAGAGGAGAAUGGAAUUCCUAGUGUAGCGGUGAAAUGCGUAGAGAUUAGGAAGAACACCAGUGGCGAAGGCGAUUCUCUGGACUGUAACUGACGCUGAGGCACAAAAAGCGUGGGUAGCAAACAGGAUUAGAUACCCUGGUAGUCCACGCCGUAAACGAUGAGUACUAGGUGUAGGAGGUAUCGACCCCUUCUGUGCCGCAGUAAACACAUUAAGUACUCCGCCUGGGAAGUACGAUCGCAAGAUUAAAACUCUAAAGUGAAUUGAC